UACGAGGGGUGCAAGCGUUGCUCGGAAUCAUUGGGCGUAAAGGGCAGGUAGGUGGUCUCAUUUGUCUGGGGUGAAAUCCUUGGGCUUAACCCAAGAACUGCCCCAGAAACGGUGAGACUCGAGUCCUGGAGAGGGUCGUGGAAUUCCCGGUGUAGCGGUGAAAUGCGUAGAGAUCGGGAGGAACACCAGAGGCGAAGGCGGCGACCUGGACAGGUACUGACACUCAACUGCGAAAGCGUGGGGAGCAAAC
rnacentral:rRNA from 1 species